UGGGGAGCAAACAGGAUUAGAUACCCUGGUAGUCCACGCUGUAAACGAUGAAUGUUAAAUAUGGGAAGUUUUACUUUCUGUAUUACAGCUAACGCGUUAAACAUUCCGCCUGGGGACUACGGUCGCAAGAUUAAAACUCAAAGGAAUUGACGGGGACCCGCACAAGCGGUGGAGCAUGUGGUUUAAUUCGAUGCAACGCGAAAAACCUUACCACUCCUUGACAUGGAAAUUAUACCUAUUCGAAGGGAUAGGGUCGGUUCGGCCGGGUUUCACACAGGUGUUGCAUGGCUGUCGUCAGCUCGUGUCGUGAGAUGUUGGGUUAAGUCCCGCAACGAGCGCAACCCUCAUCCUUAGUUACCAUCAGGUAAUGCUGGGGACUUUAAGGAAACUGCCAGUGAUAAACUGGAGGAAGGUGGGGAUGAUGUCAAGUCAUCAUGGCCCUUAUGGAGUGGGCUACACACGUGCUACAAUGGUGGCUACAAUGGGCUGCAAAGUCGCGAGGCUAAGCUAAUCCCUUAAAAGCCAUCUCAGUUCGGAUUGUACUCUGCAACUCGAGUGCAUGAAGUUGGAAUCGCUAGUAAUCGUGGAUCAGCACGCCACGGUGAAUACGUUCUCGGGUCUUGUACACACUGCCCGUCACGCCAUGGGAAUUGGUUUCACUCGAAGCUAACGACCUAACCGCAAGGAGGGAGUUAUUUAAAGUGGGAUCGGUGACUGGGGUGAAGUCGUAACAAGGUAGCAGUAGGGGAAUCUGCAGCUGGAUUACCUCCUUA
rnacentral:rRNA from 1 species